UUUCCGUAGGUGAACCUGCGGAUGGAUCAUUACUGAGGGAUGGACCCUCGGGGUCCAACCUCUCUCCCGUGUUUUCCGUACCUUGUUGAUUCGGUGGGCCCGCCUCAAGGCCGCCGGGGGGGUUCGUACCCCGGGCCCGAGCCCGUCGAAGCCACCUGUGAACGCUGGCUGAAGUAGGCAGUCGGCGGAAAUUAUUCAAUUAAUUAAUACUGUCAACAACGGAUCUCUUGGAUCCGGCCUCGUUGAUGAAAGACGCUGAAAGGAAGAGUACCCGUCGGG
rnacentral:misc_RNA from 1 species